UUGUUAGGAGCACCUGGCGCUUCAGGUCUCCAGCAGCGGGCAGGGGCGAGAAGGUUGGUUUCUAGCGGUACACCCAUCACCAACCUUCCUAAGAAUCCAAACAAGCUGAACGUCCUACGUUUCCUAUCGGCCUAAUUUUGUCCUGAGAAGAGUGAGGAAAUGACUUUUUCCAGAAUGCUGGGGAAGGCACGCUGAGUGUCCCGCACAUAUAAAAAGCCCAAUUUCUCUCCUCAGAUGUCAGCACCCGCUACUGAUAUUGCCAGAGGUAAUGAAGUCCUUUGUCACUGACCCGAGAAUCACAUGACUUUCGCCAGCUCCAUAUAAAACUAUGGCAAGCUGAUAUGUUCAGACUUUUCUUAAAGGAGUUAAAAAUCUGGGAACUACCCCUGACCUAAUUUGCCACAGGAAGACCCUGUGCUGAAUGAAGAAGGCCAUGCAUCUGUUGUUUGUCUGUUUGUCUCUUCUGAAUCAUCUGAGGAGGGACUUGUGACCUCCGGGUGCUGGGCCCUGUGUCUGUACUGAGGUGACUAAAAGCAAUGUGUCUGGACGCAGAGU